ensembl:lncRNA
AUUAAUGAAUCAGCUGCAUUCGUAAAUCAGAGCUGGAUGGCUUACACGUAUGAGACUGGCUGCACUCUGCAAAAGUGAAGACUGAAUUAUCGGUUUGUCAGAGGGCACACGUUCACCGAGUGGAAGUGUGAAUCCUUCGGAAGAAAUGCAGACAAGCCAUCUGUCCUAGGAAAUGUCAUUCCCGUCUCCAUCUUGCACAGGCAGCUGCGUGCCACGAGGCAUAGGAGGGAGCGACUGGCCAGCCGCACCAAGGUCACACCUGUUUCAAAAGUGAGUCCAGACUUAAAUCUUGACAGAGAUCAUGACCUUACUUCAACCAAUGGCUGUUUUAUCCUGGCACUCACUGGGACCAGGUAUCAGGUCUACGUAUUUUCAGCUGAACAUGUCUUUGUCUCUCUUCUCACUCCAGAGUGUAGUAUUUCUAUUUCUGAGUUUUCAUUCCUCUUUUCCUCUGAACAUUCUUUGAAUGCUUGAAUCUUUAAGCAAUAAAUUUGCCCUUGAGUAUUAGAAAAUACGAGGAAGUAACGCUUUCCUACUGAGUAGAUAAGGUUGAGUUGGGGUUAGUCUCCAUAACUUUGUGUUUUCAUAUACUUCUGUUUUCAUCAUAAAAUAUCUUUUGUUUUGAUAAAAUGAAACAGCAAGUGAAACAAAACAAAACAAACAAAAAAAGAAUGAGUCCAGUCUGUAACAGUCUGUGGAAACUCAGGGAAUAAGGUGGUUAUGUUUUGACCUACAAAGAUAGGGCCCAGAAGUGCAGAGGCAGAAAAAAAGCAGUCUUUAAAAGGAAAUGCUUUCUAGCUCUUUAAUGACUUAUUCUGUUAUCAUCACUGAAGUUAACAAUGGAUUCCUUCCUUUAAAAACAAAAACAAACAAACAAAAAAAAACUUUGAUGUUACGUAAAUAAAAUGCUCACAUCCACAUCCAACAAAAAUAUUAAUUUGGAGGUAGGUAUGCCACAGUUGUGUCUAGAGUUUGCUGUGUUUUUGUUGUAAGCCUGACAGACACAGUAAUUAGGCCUUUCCGAGGUAAAAAAUGUUUGGAUACCUCUAAGUUGAAAGCAUUUGAAAAAAUGGAAGCCAGUAGAUGACUGUUGGUAAUAGAUUUUUUUCCUAUGUUAUGCUACUUGGAGAACCCAGGCUGAACAUAGGAGGAGACACUGUGCUGCAAACUUGGUUUGGUGAUGGUUGAAACACGGCUGAUGAAUCUUUGGGUAAAUCUCCUGUUCAUGAACUCUAAUAAUGGCAAUAUAUUAUGGAUCUCACUUACAGUUCCUGCAUGCAAGUGCAAGAAUACAUACACACCAUCUUAGCUGAACUGAAUUGUUAGUGAAGCCAUCUCCAGCGGUGCUAUUCUUUUCUUAUUACUCUUUUGAAACUCAAACCUGCAGUUGUUUAUAACUCACUGAUGAGACUACAAGUUCAUUGUCUCUCCCAAGACUGGUAAGGUUGUAUCCCUUUCCCUCUAGCUUUGGCUUAACUCCACUCAUGUAAACUUUAUGUACCCAUCCUUUUUGUGUGGGAGCAGAAAUUUUGGUGCAUAUCAAUGCCUUAUUUGCUCCGCUAUAGUCACG